rnacentral:misc_RNA from 1 species
AGCUUCCUUUGCUAAUCUUUUCUGCAAGGUAUUAUACAUAUUGUGGAGAAAUUAGGCUUGGAGAACUGAUAAAGAUAAGAUCAACAAACAAACAUGGGUAUCAUAGUUCCAGAAGUCCCCGAGACACACACAAAAUCUCACUUGCGUGUUAAGCAAUUGAAAAUAAAGUUGAAGAAACUUUACUAAUCAAAUUGUGCGAUACACAACUAUACAAGUUUAAGUUAUCAACAACAGAGCUCCACAACUGGCUGGAAGUAUGAUUCAAUUUCAAAUCACAGAAAUGCAAAUGCAUCAACAAAAGCAACAAAACAAGGAAUUCAAGCUAGAAGCUAAACACCUCACGAGCCUUAGCUGUCUCAUA